AUUGUGAGUGUGCUUCUGGAAGCUAGGACUUCACAUCUGCCGGCUCAGAGUAAAUGUCCAAAGUUCAGCAUAUUGCUAAUCAAUAUCAUUUACGAAAAGUCUCCAAAUGUUACCGGGACAGGAAGAGCAAGGAAAAGAAGGAGCAAGAAAAGCACAAGAAGGCUGAAAAAGUGGCAGGUUUUAUGUUGGCCACCAUUCCUUCCAUGCCCCUUAGAACAAGGAAUUUUGGGGAAUCUAGAAAUGGCAGUUGCCAGCCAGAGCUUUGAAGAGCUUCCGUAAGUUUCUGCACUCAUGAAAAUUGGGCACCCCACUUCUAAAAAGAUGAAGGAGAGGAGACGGUUUCAGUCUCCCUUUUGCUGCUGAUCCCCUUCCACAAAUUCGGGGGGAUGUUUGAAUUUUUCAAAGUAUAAACUUUAGAGUUGGGAAGAAGCUAGAAAUGUGUUGUGUGGAAAAGAGCUUGAUGGUUUGGUUUGGUUUGGUUUGGUUUGGUUUGGUUUGGUUUGGUUUGGUUUCCUUCUUCGUGACAUUUGCCUCAUUCUCGGUGAGAAGGAAAAAGGGAACCCUGAAACUUCAAAGUCGAACCUCAGACCUGGCAAAGUUUGGGGAAUCCAUUAUGGACUGGAACCAUGAGCCAUUUGUGGGGAGACUGUGAAGCUGGAUUCCCCACACCCCACCUUUUAUCAAGGGCAAUGCAGAGGCAACUCUGUUUUCUCUCAGCAGAAUCUGGAAAGGUUGGGUCACUCACCCAAUGGCCUGUUUUCUAGCGCUCCACUGCAAGCUACUGGUAAGAUGGGAAAUGUCACCAAGUUGCCUAACAAUGCAGGGGUGUCUCUCUCUCUUUUGUGUUCAUCUGUUGUGAGCCACAACAAUAGGAAGUGUUACCUGGUUGCCUAAGUAAUGGGUGCAUGCCUCUAUUUUCUGGCUCACAACAUAGCAUGAGAAGGUAGUCACGCAACAUUUUAUAACCUGAAAUCUUCCAAAAAUUUGUGCCUAAGCAUGACCGAGGUGAUACUUUGGGCUCAGCACUAGUUUAUAUCCCUACUUAGCCAUGAAGUGGUGCUAAUACAAUUACUGCCUCUCAUCUUUAUUUAUUCAAAGGGCAAAUAUUUGGGGAUCAUUGCUAAUUCCACUUGUCCACAAAUGAAGCAUCAGAAUAGAAAUAACUAGAUUACCAUCAUAAAAUAUAUUCAGCUCUGUACUGAGGUCAGUUAAACACACAUAUUAAGAACAGCACCUUCAGAUUCUUUUCACCUCUAAUGGUUAAAAACUUUCCACUGCCUAACAAUCCAAAUUUGCAGAUAUCCAAAUUGUGGAUACUAAUUCCUGUAUCCACAAGCAACCUUAAAUCUAAAUGCCUUCGGUUAUGUAUACAGUGGUCUAUGUUUGCCUGAGCUUGAGUAUGGACUAGGAUCCUAAGCCCUGUAUUUUGAUCUGAUACAUGCCAUCCAUUCACAUAGUAUUGUCAGGAUUUGGGCUACUGGCAUUGGCUCUUAAGCUCUGGGUUACGAUUUGCAGCUUGGGGGUUUAGACAGCCAAUCACGUUGAGAGUGAGAGUGGCCCAGGCCUUCAGAAAUACUUAUAAGCAGUUGCUUUGCCCUGUUGGACUGUCCUGUUCUGUUAGCCAUUGGCUCACAGAAGUCUCUUGCUGUUAUCACUGUGUCUCGCCUCGUAGAAACUCACAUACGCUUCACCUUUCUCAAUUGGGUUAGUUGUAGUGCUACAGGACAUGGUACAAGCAGCACAUCUGGAGAAAAUGGCUUUUGGCCAGACAUUUCCAAUCCAUCUUAAGUGGCAGUGACUACACACUCCCACCUCCAAUAUUACAGUUUAAUGAAAUAUGGUUCCAUGCCAAAAGUCCUAAUUUGCUGGCGGGUGCCAAGGAACAUUUAAAACUGUAUGUUCAGAAAUAACAUUAUGUUAUGUAAGGUGCAGUAUGCAUUUCUUUCGGCUGCUUCUUGAGCCAGACCAGCAGGAAAGGGGAACUUUAGUCUAUUGGUUUCAAAAUUCUUCUGUAGCCCAAUAGUCAUAUGAAGUCAUAGGUCAAAAUAACAGAGCUUUAAACAGGAGCCACGGGGAACAGAAGUGGCCAGUAGCCCCAGAUGUUGGCCCAACCAAGCCAUUAGGCAAAUGUGACAUUUGUCUUGACGAAAUAUCAGCGGCAGUGCUGAACAGUCAUCUGUAGCCCACCCAUUUUAUUUCUUCAUCUGCAACAAAGCCAGCCAUUUUUCUUACUCCAGGGUAGGAGGUAGAGGUUAAGGAGUGGCAGAGAGGACAACUGAGAUAGAAAGUUAAAGGUUUUAUUGGACUUUUAUUUUUAGCAGAGCUUAUCAGUGCAUUAUCCAUCCCUUAAUAAUACCCCACUAAAAAUAAAUGUCUACUAAAUGUCUAUGAUAUUCUAUUGGAACUGAAGGGAAAUGACAGUACAUAUAAGAGAAAGCGGGAACAUCUUUCAGAAAGGACCUUGGCCACAGACGAAUGAGCAUUUAUUUGCAGAAAUUGUCCUCCAGGACAAUUCACAAGGGCAGGGGUACCAUCUCCUGGGGGCUAAGCUCUUUUAGGACCCCCAAUAAUUUGGGGGGCACGUGCCCCUCUCAUGACAACAGCAUCAGAGGAGGAGGAGCUGCCAGCCAUUGAAGACAUGCUGGCACCACAUUCGGUUCUGACUCAUCCCGACAUCAUGGCAGAACAUCUCUCUCUCUCUCUCUCUCUCUCUCUCUCUCUCUCACACACACACACACACACACACACACUGUGUGCAAUGCUGCCCCCAAUCUUCAGCACAAGUUGGCAUGCCUGCACCAGGACUUGCAGCCGAACCCUCUUCUGGAGCAUCUAAGGGGAAGAGGAGGAGGAGGAGUCACAAGAAGGAUUCUCACUCUCAGGGUAAGAUUUCUAAGACUUUUGCCCGAGUGCAAGAGUCCUCCUUGCCUGAGAUGUUCCAAACAAGUCAGGCUACUGGCUUGAGCAGAUCACGAUAGAAUCAGUUGUUGUUGUUUUCUAGAAAAAGAGGAGCUGGAACUCACCAUGAAUACCUCCCUUGUUCUCUUAUUACGGCAAUGGAGCCCAUCUGACAGGUGUUGGAACUGAGUUCUGGAUGGGGAAAAAAGCCCUGGCUAGAAUCAUUUUGCCAAUGGAGCCUGUGGCUACAGUGUUAUAUUCCUUGGAGGGUCCAGCAAAACUGGAAAUGGAUUAGUAUUUGUUGAAUUUGUCCUGCUGAGCUCCUUCGUCUCAUAGCGGAACUUGACACAUCUGGACAUAGGGAGGAUACUCGUGAUUUCAGCCAUUUCAAAAGAAGCUUGGUACGCAUAGGGCACCCAGAGCGGCAGCUGAAGAUGGCUGGAGUCCAGGCCGUAGCAUAGGAAGAUCAGGAGCAAGCAGAGGAAACACUGUUGGACAAAGCCAUGCUUCCAUCCAUCCUUACUGUACCUAUAUAAAGGAGCUUCCUUCUAGAGUUGUCAGGUGUCGAUUAUGGCUCAACUGUUUAGAUUUGAUUGAAUGAGACAAGGAUAACACCUUGGAAUACAUCACUCUGCAGUGUUGAGUCUCACUAUCUAGUCCUGUUCUAUAGGUCAUAAGGCUCAACAUGAACCAGGAUCAGGUUCAGCUUCCACCCAUAUGCUAUGUCUUCCUUGGAGGAGAGGAAAACAAUUGACUUGGGGACUCUGUUUCGGUGAGAGUGAAACCUACCCUUCAAGCUCGAUGCUUAGUGGCCUAAAUUUGACCAUUGGGAACCGCAUAGUUGGUUGCACUGUGUUUCCAUGUGCAGAGCACACAGUCGUACUGCAACACUUAUGGGCUUCGUUUUUACCCAUCAAGACAGCAGGCAUUUUUGCUAAUGUUCAGUGCAAAAGAAAUAAGAGUGGUGUUUCUUAUGGUGGUAGGGUCACCAAUGUACAGACAUGUCUCAAAGAUGCUGAAACACUGGACGUUGGCAGUUUUGCAAACAGAAGGAGGAAGCCAAAGAUGAACCCAGCUUGAAAGUUUGUGUAAUGGAAGAUACCAGAGUAUCUCCUCUGGUGGGGAAGUGAGUGGACUGUGAGAGGAAGUAUAAGGUAUGGAGGCAAAUGUUGGUGAGGUAGAAAUAUGGGGUUGGACAGAAGAGGGGAAUUCAGGGUUGGAGCAAGAUUCCUCUAGACUCCAGGCCCUAGUUCCUAGUGACAGAAGUUAUACAAUUCAUGAAAGUCCUUGUGUACCAGGAAGUUAAUAAAUACAUCUAAAGAAUUGUUCUUCACCAUGUGAGAAAAGUGUCUGUGUGGGGAAGGGAGUGAAUGGGGAAAUUGCAAAAGCCAAUCUCAUAAUAAACAUUUUCUGUCUCGAAAGCCAAGCUUCAGAGUAAGUAUUUCUAGAAAAGCAAGUACUAACACUGCACUUUUAGGUGUCAGUAAAUUCAUUAUUGCAUUAACUAGGCCUAAAUUAUUAAACCUUAAUGAUGUGGGUUCUCCGAAUGUGCUGG